rnacentral:rRNA from 1 species
GUUCCUAUCUGGUUGAUCCUGCCAGUAGUGAUAUGCUUGUCUCAAAGAUUAAGCCAUGCAUGUCUGAGUACAGACCGAUCUAAGGUGAAACCGCGAAUGGCUCAUUAAAUCAGUCAUAAUUUCUUUGAUAGUGAUAAAAUUCCUCGGAUAACUGUGGAAAAUCCAGAGCUAAUACGUGCAACUGAGCUCCGACCUCGGCGUAAGCCGUGGGAAGAGCGCAUUUAUUAGAUUCAAAACUGACCGGCGUAUUCCUCCGGGAUUCGCCGUUUGUCGUAAGUUUGAUGACUCCGGAUAACUAAGCCGAGCGCUACGGUCCUAGAACCGGCGCCGUAUCUUUCAAGUGUCUGCCUUAUCAGCUUUCGAUUGUAGGUUAAACGCCUACAAUGGCUGUAACGGGUAACGGGGAAUCAGGGUUCGAUUCCGGAGAGGGAGCCUGAGAAACGGCUACCACAUCUAAGGAAGGCAGCAGGCACGCAAAUUACCCACUCCCAGCCCGGGGAGGUAGUGACGAAAAAUAACGAUGCGAGACUCUUCCGAGGCCUCGCAAUCGGAAUGAGUUCAUUUUAAAUACUUGGACGAGGAUCCAUUGGAGGGCAAGUCUGGUGCCAGCAGCCGCGGUAAUUCCAGCUCCAAUAGCGUAUAUUAAAGUUGCUGCGGUUAAAAAGCUCGUAGUUGGACUUCCUAGAUCCAUUUCGCGAGCGGGUCGCUCGUAGAACUAGCGUUGCAUGACAGUUAGCUCGACGAAGAUCGGGUCGGUUCGACGCAUCGUUACUUGUUUUCGUUGCCCGGCUUUCCCUUUCCUAGUCUUGCGUACGGCGUGACGUUGUCUUCGGGUAUCGCUCGUUCGCGUUUGGUACAAUUAAAUUUUGUCGGCUCGCUCGGAGUGCUCUUUACCGAGUGUUCCAGGGUGGCCGACACGUUCACUUUGAAAAAAUUAGAGUGCUUAAAGCGGGCUCAUACGUGGCCUGAAUGUCUGUGCAUGGAAUGAAGUAACAGGACCUCGAUUCUGUUUUUUUUGUCGGUUUUAUUGAACCGAGGUAAUGAUUAAAAGGGACAGACGGUGGCAUUAGUAUUGCGGCGCUAGAGGUGAAAUUCUUGGACCGCUGCAAGACUAACUACUGCGAAAGCAUUUGCCGAGAAUGUUUUCAUUAAUCAAGAACGAAAGUUAGAGGAUCGAAGGCGAUCAGAUACCGCCCUAGUUCUAACCCUAAACUAUGCUAACUAGCGAUCCGCCGGAGUCAUUCCCACGACCCGGCGGGAAGCCCCAGGGAAACCAAAGUCUUUGAGUUCCGGGGGAAGUAUGGUUGCAAAGCUGAAACUUAAAGGAAUUGACGGAAGGGCACCACCAGGAGUGGAGCCUGCGGCUUAAUUUGACUCAACACGGGAAACCUCACCAGGCCCGGACAUCAUUAGGAUUGACAGGUUGAGAGCUCUUUCUCGAUUUGAUGGGUGGUGGUGCAUGGCCGUUCUUAGUUGGUGGAGUGAUCUGUCUGGUUGAUUCCGAUAACGAACGAGACUCUGCCCUACUAACUAGUCGGCGGAUCGUAACCCUGAGAUGGUCGUGUGUAUAGCGAGGUUUGUCCUAGACGUCGUUCGCCCGCGUUGUCGGCUCUUUCGGGAGUGUUUCAGCGUGCGACGGCUUCGUCGAAGCUUCCUCGUGAUUACUACGACUGCUGGGGGCGUCCGUCGCAAUGUAUCUUCUUAGAGGGAUCAGCGGCGUAUAGCCGCACGAGAUAGAGCAAUAACAGGUCUGUGAUGCCCUUAGAUGUUCUGGGCCGCACGCGCGCUACAAUGUAGAGAUCAGCGUGCUCUCCCCCUCCGAAAGGAGCGGGUAACCCGAUGAAACCCCUACCCGAUUGGGAUUGGGGAUUGCAAAUAUUUCCCAUAAACGAGGAAUUCCCAGUAAGCGCGAAUCAUUAAUUCGCGCUGAUUACGUCCCUGCCCUUUGUACACACCGCCCGUCGCUACUACCGAUUGAAUGAUUCAGUGAGGGCAUCGGACUGGCGCCUUCGGUUUAGUAACAUAGACCUUAGGCUGACGGAAAGAUGUCCGAACUUGAUCAUUUAGAGGAAGUAAAAGUCGUAACAAGGUUUCCGUAGGUGAACCUGGG